AGUGAACGCUGGCGGUAUGCCUAACACAUGCAAGUCGAACGGCAGCAUGAUAAGCUUUUGCUCUUACGGGUGGCGAGGGGCGGGCGGGUGAAACAUACAUCAGCAUCCACUUUUUCGGGGGGGAUAUCGUAGGGAAACUUACGAUAACAGCUCAUACGCUGAACGGGUGAGUGCAGGAGAUCAUCGCCCCUUGCUCGAUUGAAUGAGCCGAUGUCGGAUUAGCUAGUUGGCGGGGUAAAGGCUCACCAAGGCGACGAUCCGUAGCUGGUCUGAGAGGAUGAUCAGCCACACUGGAACUGAGACACGGUCCAGACUCCUACGGGAGGCAGCAGUGGGGAAUAUUGGACAAUGGGCGAAAGCCUGAUCCAGCAAUGCCGCGUGGGUGAAGAAGGCCUUCGGGUUGUAAAGCCCUUUUGUUAGGAAAGAAAAGAAGCAGGUUAAUACCUGGCUGUGCUGACGGUACCGAAAGAAUAAGCACCGGCUAACUACGUG
rnacentral:rRNA from 1 species